rnacentral:rRNA from 1 species
GAUGAACGCUGGCGGCGUGCCUAACACAUGCAAGUCGAACGGACUGGAUGAAACCUAGUGAUUCCGGUUAGUGGCGGACGGGUGAGUAACGCGUGGGCAACCUGCCUCAUACAGGGGGAUAACAGAUAGAAAUAUCUGCUAAUACCGCAUAAGCGCACGGGAUCGCAUGAUCUUGUGUGAAAAACUCCGGUGGUAUGAGAUGGACCCGCGUCUGAUUAGCUAGUUGGUAGGGUAACGGCCUACCAAGGCGACGAUCAGUAGCCGGCCUGAGAGGGUGAACGGCCACAUUGGGACUGAGACACGGCCCAA